rnacentral:tRNA from 1 species
AGCCUGUUAGCUCAGUCGGUUAGAGCGUCGUGCUAAUAACGCGAAGGUCGUAGGUUCGAUUCCUGCGCAGGACA